rnacentral:rRNA from 1 species
GGGUGAGUAACACGUAUGCAACCUACCUGUAAGCGGGGAAUAACCCGGAGAAAUUCGGACUAAUACCGCAUAACACUGUGAGACCGCAUGGUAUUACAGUUAAACAUUUAUGGUUUACAGAUGGGCAUGCGUAUGAUUAGCUAGUUGGAGAGGUAACGGCUCACCAAGGCAACGAUCAUUAGGGGUUCUGAGAGGAAGGCCCCCCACACUGGUACUGAGACACGGACCAGACUCCUACGGGAGGCAGCAGUGAGGAAUAUUGGUCAAUGGUCGAGAGACUGAACCAGCCAAGUCGCGUGCAGGAAGAAGGUUUUAUGAAUUGUAAACUGCUUUUGCAGGGGAAUAAAGUGUCCGAUGUGUCGGAUUUUGUAUGUACUCUGCGAAUAAGGAUCGGCUAACUCCGUGCCAGCAGCCGCGGUAAUACGGAGGAUCCGAGCGUUAUCCGGAUUUAUUGGGUUUAAAGGGUGCGUAGGCGGGUAUUUAAGUCAGUGGUGAAAGUUUGCAGCUUAACUGUAAAAUUGCCAUUGAAACUGAAUAUCUUGAGUGUAAAUGAGGUAGGCGGAAUGUGUUGUGUAGCGGUGAAAUGCAUAGAUAUAACACAGAACACCAAUUGCGAAGGCAGCUUACUAGAAUACAACUGACGCUCAGGCACGAAAGCGUGGGGAUCAAACAGGAUUAGAUACCCUGGUAGUCCACGCAGUAAACGAUGAAUACUAACUGUAUGCGAUACACAGUAUGCGGUACAGCGAAAGCGUUAAGUAUUCCACCUGGGGAGUACGUUCGCAAGAAUGAAACUCAAAGGAAUUGACGGGGGCCCGCACAAGCGGAGGAACAUGUGGUUUAAUUCGAAGAUACGCGAAGAACCUUACCUAGCCUUGACAUUGAUAGAAUCCGAUGGAAACAUUGGAGUGCCAGUUUACUGGAGCUUGAAAACAGGUGCUGCACGGCUGUCGUCAGCUCGUGUCGUGAGAUGUUGGGUUAAGUCCCGCAACGAGCGCAACCCUCGUCCUUAGUUACUAACGGUUCGGCCGAGGACUCUAAGGAGACUGCCUUCGUAAGGAGGAGGAAGGUGAGGACGACGUCAAGUCAUCAUGGCCCUUACGGCUAGGGCGACACACGUGCUACAAUGGAUAGGACAAUGAGACGCAAUACCGCGAGGUGGAGCAAAUCUAUAAACCUAUUCUCAGUUCGGAUUGUAGUCUGCAACUCGACUACAUGAAGCUGGAAUCACUAGUAAUCGUAGAUCAGCCAUGCUACGGUGAAUACGUUCCCGGGUCUUGUACUCACCGCCCGUCACACCAUGGGAGU